CAUGUUCUACCAGAGCAAGGAUAUAUGAAAUAGUGUCAGGAAAAGGAAAAUGAAGAUAGAGCAGGGAGGCAGGGUGAGCUGUUUGCAUCCUUCAAAGGAAAGCAAAGGAGUGCCUGUGAAGAUGAACCUUAAUUUAAACCACAGGGAAGAAGAGUGUUAAUGCAACACCCAUCUCAUGCUGCUUUUCCGAUAAGGGCUAUAAUACAGCAAAAGUGGCUGAAGAGGCUUUUCUCAGAGAAUUUUCUAACCAACUUUGUAAAGCCAAGAAGGCAAAACUCUCCUGGAGACCUUUCAUGUUCUUAGUUCACUGAAUUCAAAUGUUUAUGUGAGUCUUCUGCAACUAUUGUCAUUUAAAUAGCUCGCGCUCCUCAAGUGGGAAGGGUGGCUGUGAUGCAGUGUUGUGGAGGCUACCAGUACAUACCAGAAGCCUCAAGAACUCUUCAGCAUUUCUAUCCGGGAUGUGCUAAGAUGUGCAGCCUCCUGCUAUGCUGCUGCUGGUCCAGCUGCUGACUGCACCAUCCUGACGAAAUCCAGGGCUUGUUCCAGUCCGAAGAGAAGAACAUAUUACUCUACAACAACAGUCUAUUUGUGACAGUUUGCUCUCAUCUUCCUGCAACCCAUCUUACAAAUGAGACAUAAAAUUGAGGCUUUGGACGCUUACGGACCCAAUCCUGCAACAUUUAUGCACCUGGUUAAGCUGAAUCAUGUGAAGAUUCCUAGCGGAUUGAAUGUGCAGAAUGACUAAUACUUGAGAAACUAUGGCGACAGUUUGCAGUUCUUUGGGAUAAAGAGGAAUGCAUGAAACUAGGGUGUGUUAUCUCCUCCUCUCCCCAAAUCUGGCCAGAAUGCUCUAAAGGAUGGACUUGGAGUGAAUGCAGGGUAAAAUGUUCUCUCCUGCAGUCAGUACCUAUUAUAUUCAUUUCUUUCUGCUGCUAUAGUAAGACUCCUGAUUGUGCAAUAUUUAGCCCCCAGCAGUGCAACAAGAUCUCCAGGUUUACAUCGCAGAGUCACACUUGGUGAUGUUAUACAGCCUUGUUAAUUGAUUACAAAAUAGUUCAGCGCGCUGCACUGUUCCUGCAUCUUCAGUGUAGCUUUGCUGCCUCCUCAUUCGAAACCAGCUGUACUUCAAGGUCCUGGUCCCUGUGUUUGAAGCCUGAAGAGCUGAAGAAUGACCUUUCUCUUCGACCUACAUCUUUCAUAGGAAUAAAGCAACAGAUGACACCAAGUACGGGAUUCACAGAGCUCUUUGUGCAAGCCCCGAGCAGUGGAGCUUUCCAGUGAAGGGCAUCAAGCUUAACUCUCAGCUCACCCUGCAAGGAGGGGUUUGGUUUUUGUUGUUUUGUUUUGUUUUUUUUUCAUUUCAGCAGCAUUUCCAUUGACUUAUGCAGGAGCAGAGUCAAAUCCCAGCAUGUUUUUUAAGACAAGCUACUCCACAGCAGGAGCAGAUCUCGGUAGAUAGGAUGUCCCUGUCCCUGUGGGACUCCCCAUCCAGGCAAACCAACUCCCACCACACACUGAAUGAUUCCCACACUUAUUGCUCAGCCUCCAUUGAGAUUUCUGGUUUUGCACAUUUCCAUCGUGAUUGGCAACUGAAACAGGAAGAUCAGACAAAAGAAGCUGAAACACCACCUGGGAUGGAGCUGAAAAAAAAGAUGCAGGAGCAGAUAUCUCCAUCUGUAUUCUCCAGGAUGUGUAAGCUGGGAAACCAGCUGCGGUGCGGUGCUCCCGAAUCACAGGGGACUGGUGCUCUGCCCCGCUGCAUCUCGGGAAACCCCUGUGUCAGUCCCUGUCCCAGCAAGGUCACCUUAAAGCCUGUUUCCCCAUCCUCGGGCCAGUCACACUGUUGUGAAACUCCAGAAUAGGGUGAGGAAAGGGAGUCCAAGAAGAAUAAAACAGAGGAAAAUGAGGCUUUUCUCAGAUUUAUGCAGAAGGAAUUUCAGAGCCCCCUGGAAAGCACAUUGGCCAUAAUGGGCUCCUUCCACCAUUUAAUCCAGAUAAAUGGAAAACUCCUCUGCUAAAUAUGCCUUCCUGUACACAAAACUGGUGCUACACACUCAAUACGUAUGGAUGCAUCCCCAUGCAAAGCACCUCAGCAUCCUCGGUAGGAAUCAUGCAACAUUGACAGCAUAUCACACCCUGAGCAACAUACUUUUUGUAUUGAUGCAAAAAGCCGUGCACAGAAGGGAAAAUGGCAGCUUUCCAAGUGGCCCCAGUUAAUAGCUCUGUUUUGCUUAAUGGUGCCUCCCAUUCAGACUAAAGAUGCUGUUUUAAAUAUGUAAGCAAUUAGUAUCUCUCUCUCUCAACACAUCUGUGCUUCUUCUGUCUGCUGCAUUAUAAAUCCACUGCGUCCCUCUCUAGUUCAGCGGUGCACGUAUCACCAGAUAUUCUGAUUUUUCAGCAACUUUGUGGUCUGAAAGAAUUAUGCUUGCAUUUGGAGACACCCUGCCAGGCUGGCCCUGCCUAAACCUUGGCACAGCUGGUCUCUCCUCUCCAGGGCCGGUGCAGGACUAAACAGAGAACAGGGAUGCAGGGAAAGGAUCACUUAGUCUUUUUUUUUUUUUUGGCUGUUCUUUUGUCCAGCCAGUCCAUUUUUCCUUAUUCCCAACUUUCAUACACUUUAAUCUCCCUUUCUGGAUAAAAACUCCAGCCUUUUCUCUCCAUAACAAAAUCUAAGGCUAUGCCUGUAGCCUGCAGGUUGGUCAUAGGGGCUGUGAGAGUGGCAGAGUUGCCUCCAGGUGCCUCAGAAGCAGAGCCCCUUGCGUGGUUUCUACUUAAUAAAUUCUACCU
rnacentral:lncRNA from 1 species